AGUGGAAGUUGCGGUCUCUCUCACCUCUCCACCGAGAGCAGUUGCGCUUUCUCUCACUUCUCCACCGAGAGCAAUUGCGCUCUCUCUCACUUCUCCACCGAGAGGGAGUUGCCGUUCUCUGCCCUCUCAUAGAGCGGUCGUUGCAGUCUCUUUGACCUCUCCACUCAGCGGAAGUUGCGCUCUCUCUCACCUCUUCACCGAGAGCAGUUGUGCUCUCUCUCACCUCUCCACCCAGAGGCAGAUGCUGUUCUCUGACCUCUCCGAAGAGCGGGAGUUGCGCUCUCUCUGACCUCCCCACCCAGAGCUAGUGGCCGUUCUCUGACUUCUCACAGAGAGGCAGUUGCCGUUCUCUGUCUGACCUCUCCACAGAGCGGCACUUGCGUUCCCUUACCUCCCCACCAAGAGGCCGUUGCGUUCUCUGACCUCUCUCCUCUUCUCUCUGCCUCCACUUUAUUUCAUUCCCAGUCCACAGGUAACACCGCGUCGGUAAAGGCUGCCCCACAACUCCCUCAAGUGUCACAAUCCACAGCUGCUGAGGCUCUCGGAGAAUUCACCUUGCCCUCUCACCCAGAUAUUAACCCAUCUUGGGGUUCCGGAUCCCUUUGAAGACCCCCGGCUCGGUGUUCCAGGCUGCCUACUGUGUACUGCCUUCGUGUCCUAGGUGCCAUGGCUUGGGAUCCUGCGUGGGCUCGGCAUCUGUGGCCUGUUGUCCUGCACUUGCCUCGUGACCUCGAAAAACUCGCCUAAAGGCGUUUCUCUAACAGAAAGGUCACUUGGUGCCCCCCAUCUGGGGCUUCCAGAUCACUUUGGAGACACCUGUCUUGUGGUUCUAGCCAGAGAAGCGAAGCCCACAGAAGGCUGGAGGCUUGAAUACAAGCCCUUGGACUUAUCCCAUCUCACACCACCUUGUUGGCAGGCUCUCCUUAAGUUUCUCCACUAAGACCAAGGCCAGACUGAAAGGCUCUCCAGAAAGCUGUCCAGCCCCAGGAAAGAGAUAAUAAAGAAUUUAGACCUUAACCCCUGGCUACUCUUCUGGUGAUUCCUGAACUGAACAAAGUCUGCCUGAAAGACCCCCAAGAAGCUGAAACAAAGAACAUGACAGAUAAAUACGAUCUGACAUUUACAUAUUGCCUAUUGUGUGAAUGUCACAGUUCUAAGGGCUGUAUUAUUGAUUACUAAUAACUAGCAUUUAUGGAACCUACUAUGUACCAGUCACUGUAAUAUUAAAUUUAGGGAAAUUCAUAAAAAAAAGUGUUAGCAUUUACACCACCUGCUGUCAGCCAGUAACUCUGCAAAGCAGAUUAA